rnacentral:rRNA from 1 species
CAGCCGCCGCGGUAAUACGAAGGGUGCAAGCGUUAAUCGGAAUUACUGGGCGUAAAGCGUGCGUAGGCGGUGAGUUAAGUCUGCUGUGAAAUCCCCGGGCUCAACCUGGGAAUGGCAGUGGAUACUGGCUCGCUAGAGUGUGUCAGAGGAUGGUGGAAUUCCCGGUGUAGCGGUGAAGUGCGUAGAGAUCGGGAGGAACAUCAGUGGCGAAGGCGGCCAUCUGGGACAACACUGACGCUGAGGCACGAAAGCGUGGGGAGCAAACAGGAUUAGAGACCCCUGUAGUCCCUGUCUCUUAUAC